rnacentral:rRNA from 1 species
AUAAGAUAUCAAGGGCAACAGGUGAAUGCCUUGGCGCUGAGAGGCGAUGAAAGACGCGGUAAGCUGCGAUAAGCAUCGGGGAGGAGCUAAACAUCCUACGAUCCGAUGAUUUCUGAAUGGGGAAACCCGAUGGGAGUCAUGUCCCAUCAUCCUGAGCUGAAUAUAUAGGCCCAGAGAAGCCAACCCGGGGAAGUGAAACAUCUCAGUACCCGGAGGAAGAGAAAUCAAACGAGACUCCCAAAGUAGCGGCGAGCGAAAUGGGAAGAGCCCAAACCGGGUGGUUUCGACCAUUCGGGGUUGUAGGGCCGGCAUACGCGAUUCUGGAGUAGGCAGAGGAAGUGAGCUGGAAAGCUCCGCCACAGCGGGUGAUAGCCCCGUACUCGAAACCGAAAAGGACGCAGCCGGUACCUGAGUACUGCGAGGCACGUGGAACCUCGUGGGAAUCUAGGGGGACCAUCCUCUAAGGCUAAGUACUCCUCAGCGACCGAUAGUGAACUAGUACCGUGAGGGAAAGGUGAAAAGAACCCCUGUUAGGGGAGUGAAAUAGAAUCUGAAACCUGUUGCCUACAAGCUGCGAGAGCUGCUUCGGCAGUAAUCGCGUGCCUUUUGUAUAAUGAGUCAGCGAGUUACUCUACCGUGCGAGGUUAAGCGAAAGCGUAGCCGUAGUGAAAGCGAGGCUUAAUAGGCCGACUAGUACGUUGGAGUAGACCCGAAACCGGGUGAUCUAUCCAUGAGCAGGUUGAAGCAAGGGUAAAGCCUUGUGGAGGACCGAACCGUCAACGGCUGAAAACGUUCCGGAUGACUUGUGGAUAGGGGUGAAAGGUCAAUCAAACCCGGUGAUAGCUGGUUCUCCCCGAAAUAUAUUGAGGUAUAGCCUCGGGAAUUGAUUAGCGGAGGUAAAGCACUGACAGAGCUAGGGGUCCUACCAGAUUACCAAACUCUAUCAAACUCAGAAUGCCGCUUAAUUGUAUCCCGGGAGUCAGACGGCGGGUGCGAAGGUUCGUCGUCAAAAGGGAAACAGCCCAGACCAACAGCUAAGGUCUCCAAAUCCAUGCUCAGUGGUGAAGGUAGUGGAACCGUUUAGACAGCCAGGACGUUGGCUUAGAAGCAGCCAUCGUUUAAAGAAAGCGUAAUAGCUCACUGGUCUAAUGGCUCUGCGCCGAAAAUGUAACGGGGCUAAGCAUGGUACCGAAGCUUUGGCAAUCUCCUUUGGAGAUUGGGUAGGGGAGCGUUCGCUGCGGGCUGAAGGUGUGCCGGAAGGCAUGCUGGACUGCAGUGAAGUGAUUAUGCUGACAUGAGUAACGAUAAAAUAUGUGAAAAACAUAUUCGCCGAAAACCCGAGGUUUCCUGGGUAAAGGUAAUCUUCCCAGGGUUAGUCGGAUCCUAAGGUGAGGGUGAAAGCCGUAACCGAUGGAAAACAGGUUAAUAUUCCUGUACUUGUUGUGUAGCGCGAUGGAGGGACGCAGGAAGAUAGGCGGGCCGGGUGUUGGAUAUCCCGGUGCAAGCGUGUAGGAAUAUCCGGUAGGCAAAUCCGCCGGACGAAUCUGAGACGCGAGUCCGUGGGCGCAAGCCCUGAAGCCGUUGAGUCUAUGCUGCCUAGAAAAGCUCCUAAGUUUAUCCACAGCAAUCCGUACCGCAAACCAACUCAGGUGGGUGGGAUGAACAAUCCAAGGCGCUCGAGAGAACUCUGGCCAAGGAACUCGGCAAAAUAACCCCGUAACUUCGGAAGAAGGGGUGCUCUCUAGGGUGACAUGUUUAACAUAUGAAGCCCCGGGGAGCCGCAGUGAAUUGGUGGUGGCGACUGUUUACUAAAAACAUAGGUCUGUGCGAAGUCCUAAAGACGACGUAUACGGACUGACGCCUGCCCGGUGCUGGAAGGUUAAAAGGAGGGGUCAGCGCAAGCAAAGCUCCGAAUUGAAGCCCCAGUAAACGGCGGCCGUAACUAUAACGGUCCUAAGGUAGCGAAAUUCCUUGUCGGGUAAGUUCCGACCUGCACGAAUGGCGUA